rnacentral:sRNA from 1 species
CACGGGGAAGGAUGAGAAGCUUCGACUAAGGUUCGACUCGAGCGAAGCGAGAGAACGUUGCCGCAGGCAACGGCCCGAAGGGCGAGGAGCGAUAGCGACGAGUUAUCCUUCCCCCACCACCA